AUGGGGAGCUCGGAUAUGGCGUCGCAGCCGCAGAGCGACAGCGUCAAGGUGGCAGUCAACGUCCGGCCGCUCAUCACGCCGGAGCUCGUCCUCGGAUGCACGGACUGCGUCACCGUCACGCCGGGCGAGCCGCAGGUUCAAAUUGGCCCACACAUCUUCACUUAUGAUCAUGUCUACGGCAGCACGGGGUCUUCUUCCUCGUUGAUAUUUGAGCAAUGUGUGUAUCCACUAAUCGACUCAUUGUUCUGUGGAUACAACACCACUGUGCUAGCUUAUGGCCAGACUGGAUCCGGGAAGACAUAUACGAUGGGGACCAAUUAUUCUGGUGAAUCUAACUGUGGAGGAAUAAUUCCACAAGUCAUGGAGACGAUAUUCAAGAAAGCUGAUGCAAUGAAGGGUGAUACAGAGUUCUUAAUUAGGGUAUCCUUCAUUGAGAUAUUCAAGGAGGAAGUAUUCGAUUUGCUUGAUGAUCCUGGGUCUGUUGCAAAAGCAGCAGCGCCUGCUAGAGUGCCUAUUCAGAUUCGAGAAACUGCAAAUGGAAGCAUUACGCUUGCUGGCGUGACGGAGGCUGAAGUCAAGUCAAAAGAAGAAAUGGCCUUGCACUUGGCACGAGGAUCUUUGUCACGCGCAACUGGAAGUACAAACAUGAAUAGCCAGUCAAGUCGCUCUCAUGCUAUUUUUACGAUAUCUAUCGAACAAAAGAGGACCUCAAGUUCUGCAUCUGAGAAGUCAACUAGUAAUGAAUAUGAUAUUUUAUCAUCAAAAUUUCAUCUAGUUGACUUGGCUGGUUCUGAGAGGGCUAAACGAACAGGAGCUGAUGGAUUACGGCUUAAAGAAGGGAUACACAUAAACAGAGGCCUUCUUGCUCUUGGCAAUGUUAUUAGUGCAUUAGGUGAUGAAAAGAAGCGGAAAGAAGGAGCAUUUGUCCCAUACCGGGACAGCAAAUUAACUCGCCUGCUGCAGGACUCUCUAGGAGGAAACAGUAAAACCGUUAUGAUUGCUUGCAUUAGUCCUGCUGAUUCUAAUGCAGAGGAAACCAUAAAUACACUCAAGUAUGCCAAUCGUGCUCGGAAUAUUCAAAACAAAGCAGUGAUCAACAGAGACCCAGUUACAGCAGAGAUGCAAAAAUUGAGGAGUCAAUUAGAGCAGCUCCAGAGUGAACUUCUGUUUUCCCGCAGUGGGAGUGCGGCACUAGAAGAACUUCAGCUGCUGCAACAAAAAGUCUCUCUACUUGAGUUAAAAAAUUCAGAACUGUACUGUGAGCUCAAGGAAAGGGAAAUGUCUUGUGAACAGUUAGCACAGCGUGCAGUUGCUGCCCAGCUGGAAAAGGAUCAGCUCAUGUUAAAGCUCGAUUCAGCACGCAAUGGAAAAUCGUGGGAUGAUAUUGAAAAUGCCGGUAGUGAGCAGGAUGUGGACCUUAUGAAGACCUAUAUAUCGAAGAUUCAGCAGUUGGAGGCUGAAGUAACACGGCAGAAGUUCUCCACUGCCUGUAGAAAUGGUUUGCAUGAUCGACUUGCACUGGAUAAGGGCAUGCUUCUAGACGAUCUAGGUUCAGGUUGUGAAGUAGGAACGCUCGAAGUGUCAAGUGAAGUUGAUGAAGAAGAAAAGGAAAGAGAACAUUCAUCCAUACAGGAGAAACUGGAUAUGGAGCUGCAAGAUCUAGAUAAAAGACUUCAGCAAAAGGAGGCUGAGAUGAAACAAUUUGCGAAGAGUGAUACCUCUGUUCUCAAGCAACAUUAUGAGACGAAGUUACAUGAGAUGGAACAAGAAAAGAAGGCUUUUCAGAAAGAAAUUGAGGAUCUCCGUCAUGCACUAGCAAAAAUAUCUUCCUCAACUGAUGAGUGCUCACACAAAAUGAAAGAGAACUAUCUUCAGAAGAUGAACAUGCUUGAAACUCAGGUCUCUCAGCUCAAGAAAAAGCAGGAUGCUCACCAACAGUUGCUACGACAGAAACACAAAAGUGAUGAUGCAGCUAUGCGUUUACAAGGAGAAAUUCAACGCAUCAAAUCUCAGAAGGUUCAACUUCAACAAAAGAUCAAACAAGAAUCCGAGCAAUUUAGAUCUUGGAAAGCGGCUCGUGAAAAGGAAGUGCUCCAGCUGAAGAAGGAAGGGAGACGGAAUGAAUAUGAGAUGCAUAAACUCCUAGCUUUAAAUCAGAAGCAGAAAAUGGUUUUACAGCGAAAAACUGAAGAAGCUACGAUGGCCACGAAAAGACUGAAAGAUUUGCUCGAAGCAAAGAAGUCCACCCGUGAUGCUCAUGGAACAGGCGCAUCAGGGAUUCAGGCCUUGAUGCGAACGAUUGAUGAUGAACUUGAAGUAACUGUAAGGGCGUAUGAAUUACGUUCACACUAUGACCGACAAAUACAAGAGAGAGCAACAAUAUCUAAGGAAAUAGCAAAGCUGAAGGAGUGUCCCGAGGCUAUGUCUCCUAGCGCUAGGAGUUCCAGAAUAUCAGCACUGGAAAACAUGCUGUCAUCAUCAUCUAGUGCUAUGGUAUCAAUGGCUUCUCAACUGUCUGAAGCGGAGGAGCGGGAGCGUGUGUUCAAUGGUAGAGGCAGAUGGAACCAUGUAAGGUCCCUGCCUGAUGCAAAGAACACAAUGAAUUACCUUUUUCAGUUAGCAUCAUCUUCAAGGUGCCAACUACAUGAUAAGGAGGUGAUGUGUAUAGAGAAGGAUCUCAUCAUUGGAGAACUGAAAGAAAAGGUGGUUGCGCUUAAUGGCAGAACUAGACAGUUAGAAGCACAAGUUAAUGAUCUACAUAACCAAAAUAUGCAGCUUUUCGCUGCAAUGAACAAUGCGAAGAAAUCUGGUAGGGCCUCAAGGCGUGAUACUACUAUUGAUCCAGAAGAUGGUCAAAUUUAUGCUUUGCGGAAGAGUGCUCGAGGUUCUCAAUUCCAGCAUGGUAAGAGCAGCUUCUACUGGUCGGAUGACAUGGACAUAUCAGAUGCUGAUGAGUCGGGAGAAUUAGAAGAUAUGAGUGAUGAUGGAUCUGAUACAGACUGGGUAGAGUCAUCCAGGAAAAUCAAUAAUACACGGCGGCGAACAUCUAACCCGAGUAGAAACAAUUCACUUACAGAUGUGAAGUCAGAGAUGCCUAGUGAGGAAAUUCCCACUAUCCAGAAAGAGCAUGCUUCUUCACAGUGCUGCUCGUGUUCAUCGAAAUCGUUGUGCAAGCUCACCAGAUAUUGUGAGUGCAGAGCUCUAGGCUCACAAUGCGGUACUGGUUGCGGGUGUAAUGCUUCCAAGUGUUCCAAUAGGAUGCGCGUCGUCAAGGAAGAAAUAGACGAUGAACCACCAUCCGAGAAGGAAGGGAGCGAGUUUGGUAACGUUUCUUCUUCAGGGAAUGAUGCCAAAAUGAAGGAAGAAGUGAAGCAAGGAAUCAUGCUUCUCGAGAAUGCUGUGGCUGAGAAGGAAACUCAGCAGCCAAAAUCAAGAAAGCCAUUGGCGGACAUUGGAAAUAACGAUGCAAAACAAGCUGGGGCAAAACCUAAGCAGAGGAAGAACUGGCGCAAGUCGGCAACAAUCCAGCUCGUCCCUACGGAGCCUCCUGCACCAGCCCCAGCCUCUGCGCCGGAUAACGCCGAAGCCGCUCCGCAGAACAGAGCCGACAUUCCCCUGAGGCUGCCGAGGGCAAUGUCCUCUGUGUCCGCUGCGGAGAGUAACCCUCUUACAGACCGCAAUGCCACCAAGGCAGGCGAGUCCGUGAGCAGCAACAAGGAGAACGGCAGCGUUGCCACGACGAGGGUACCGGCUCCGGCUCCGGCUCGGUCGAGAAAGAAUGCUGCCAUGGAGAAGGAGAACCACCUGGGAUGA
rnacentral:rRNA from 1 species